rnacentral:rRNA from 1 species
AUGAACGCUGACAGAAUGCCUAACACAUGCAAGUCAACUUGAAUUUGGGUUUUUAACUUAGGUUUGGGUGGCGGACGGGUGAGUAACGCGUAAAGAACUUGCCUCACAGCUAGGGACAACAUUUGGAAACGAAUGCUGAUACCUAAUAUUAUGAUAAUAGGGCAUCCUAUAAUUAUGAAAGCUAUAAGCGCUGUGAGAGAGCUUUGCGUCCCAUUAGCUAGUUGGAGAGGUAACGGCUCACCAAGGCGAUGAUGGGUAGCCGGCCUGAGAGGGUGAUCGGCCACAAGGGGACUGAGACACGGCCCUUACUCCUACGGGAGGCAGCAGUGGGGAAUAUUGGACAAUGGACCAAGAGUCUGAUCCAGCAAUUCUGUGUGCACGAUGAAGUUUUUCGGAAUGUAAAGUGCUUUCAGUUGGGAAGAAAGAAAUGACGGUACCAACAGAAGAAGUGACGGCUAAAUACGUG